UACAUCCUAUAAGAGAAAAAAUACCGUGGGAUAAUGAAAGCGAAUAUAUUCAUUGAUCAUGCAAGUAAAAGGUUUUUGCAAUGUCACGCGAAGGCAGCCAUAUUGGAUGGAUAGCGGAAGAGUAACUGAAUUUCUGUAUUUGUUUGUCUGACACGUUAAAGAAGGAUGAAAGAACACCAGGUACAUGAACACGACUGUCCUUUUCUUUUCUGCAUCGUAUCACAACCAAUGUUUUCUGCACUUGCCGCGGUUCCACAAAGCUGCCUUGGGAAUCUUAUCCUAUCCACUUGGCCUUCAAUGGAGCGAAUUAUCUUCACUUUUGAGACACGAACCGAUGAAUAUUCGUCGCACCAAAGCAGUAUGAGAAGAAAAACGUGUUUUAAAGUAUAAAAAAUAAGCGCAUUUUGACAGGAAAAAUGAUUAGGUAAUUCCACCAUUUUACACCGAUCUUGAACUACGAGGAACUGAAAUUUACAGAGACAAGCUUGUACCUUAAUACCUUGUUCAUCUCAAUCAAGAAGCUUUCACACCAAAACAAACAUGUAUCCCAAAUGACACAAACCAUAUUUGAUAUUUAUUUCAGUUUCAUACUUUUAAUUGCAGUUUGUUUCUAUAGUUAUUAAUAUAAAACAAAAGAGGUUUACUUUCUCUUAAAAUCGUAAAAUUAGCAAGGCUGAUGUCUGCUAAGAAAUAGCCUGUUUUGUGGUGAAUGAAAUAUUCAUAAAUGCCAAAGGGAGGCAACAUUUAAUGCCAAGGGGCAGGAAGGCAUCAGAUAUACAUGAAACCAAAAGAGUUGAUUUUGUUUAUGUGAAAGGUUUCGAAUCUCACAAAAUGUGGUAAGAAACUCACUGACGGAAUACUAAACCAUUUUCGAAUUCCCUAAUACGGCUGUGUUUCUUGAUUACAGACUCGGUUAAUCAGGUUUAGCCUAGAUCAUUUCGGACUCAAAAUAUUCACAAUACCAACGGUGAAGUAAACUGAGAAUUCACUCGAAUGCACUAGCAUUCUAUUCUAUUGCUUUAGAAUCGAUAAUCGAGACCUUGUCGGCUUGGGCGUAAUGUUUUUCCCAUUUCAUUGUCCAGAUAAUCAUUUCACUCUUUUUCCGUCAACGCCUGAGAAGAUAUAUUAAAAGCACAGGAGUUUCAAUUUAGAUAAUUAAUACCAAAAUAUUCGACCCAAAUUUUAAAAGGCUAUAAGAUUCUGUGCCCGGAUGACAUGUUGGUUAGUGCCUUUUCUAAAGCGUUAUCAAUAAACCGACACACUACAUACUACUCAGGCGAAAAAGACGUGGUGUGGAAUGGAAAAACAGGCCGCAUAAAAUCUGCUUGACCGUCUAUUUAGUUUUCUACUUAAUAAUUUGAUAUUUUUUUUGUAAUCCCUUAUACUUUAUUUGGUAUGGUAACGAUAUAUGCAUAUUUGCGAUUUUAGAUACACAUAGUCUUUUGAUACUUGUAUAAUAAACGUUCGUUUCUAUGCCUAUGUGAAUAAAAAACUUGUUUUAUUGUGUA